CUCGAAUGUUAUCAGUGGCAAACUACUCUGGUAGCUAUGAUCUGCCAUAGAUGAGUCCAGGAAUAAAUUCUGCAUGUCCUUUAUUCCCCCAUAGAGCAGAUUCUCAGAGAACCAGUAACAUCCCUGACGCCGCUAUAUUAAGGAAGAUGGUAAGAAAUCGCAGCUGCCACCCUGUGCUCCGAGGCAUCCUGGAGAGCCUCCUGCGUUACCUCACACAGGAUCUGCCAAAAUGGGCCGCGCAAGACGGAAACCUUAAGAAGCCGUGGACCGAUCAGUCUGAUCAGAGGACUGAGAGCACUGAAGAGCACAAAAUGAUCCAAGACAAACCUGCAGAGCAGCUUUUAGAGACCCUCGAGACCUACAAGCUGCAAAACCGCUAUGGAGGAACCACAUCCAGAGACCCGGUACCCCGACAUCUCACUACUUUCCAGCUUCUCCAGUCUAAAUUCAUGCGGUCCAGCUCCAAAGCUCCUCUCACCUGCCAAAGGGAGGUAGGUACUCUGUCCUCCAGCAGAGGAGCAACAGGAGAUUUGAAAAACUUUAACACCAAAGAACCAGAACCAAAGAGUCAAACUAGAAGAGGACAAGGACAGAAGAGAGGGGGGAGUGUGAAAGAUAUAGUUGCCAAGUUUGCCAUGGCUGAGCGCAAGGAAAAAGGGGAAAACACAUUGAAGACUCAGCCGUUGAGGGCACAGCUGACUGGAAGAGGGACGGUGCUAUCGACAUUGAUGGAGAGGUUCGAAACCGUGGCAACUGUUCGUAAGGGAAGCGCUGUUGUGCAAAUCCGGUUGCCGAGUGACGUAAAGCAGAUGGUCGCCUGUCGUGAAAGACGGCAACAAGGAAGUAGAGAUCAAAAUGUACACAAACAAAAGCAACCCAGGACAAUGAAAAUCAAAUCAGAUUUAAAAGGACAUAAUAGCGACAGUGGGCAGCAGCCGGCCCCAGGGCUGAAAACACCUGAAAUAAAAUCAAAACAGGAAGUGAGUCAUGUGAAACGUUCAGAUCAAAAACCUGAGGACCAGUGUUCAAUUAAAACUGUAAAACAUCAAAAAUGCAACAAGACUGAUAAGAAUUCAGACCAUCAUGGUGAAAUACAAUCUAGACCAGAAGAGUAUAAUAUCACUGACCGUUUAAAGUAUGCAGAUCUGGAGUUGUUUAGUUCAAUAUCUGUCAUAGAGGAAUGUCUCCCAGAACCUUACAAACCUCUCCCACAGGUAGAGGCACCAAUGAAGUGCCAUGUUGGAACCAUCACCACCUCCUCACCAGUGUGGUUCACAUCUGUCGCUCACUCUCCCAAACUACACCCAGCUGAAGCCUCAGGGAAACCUCCGACUGGAGCUUCGGAGAACGGCUCCCAUUUAAAUCUCCAGAGAGAGGGGAACAGAGGAGCUGAAGACUACCUGAACCCAUCCAAACCUGGGACCGGUCGAAAGACGGGGCCCACGCACCUCAUCCCACGCGUUCACAGAUUUACUUUCCCACAGGAUGUUAAAGACCACCCUCGUUCAUCUCAGCGUCCAGCAGAAAACUCAGAAAGCAUCUGUUUAAAUGCAGGGCAGCCUGCAUGUUUGGGUACUUCAAAUACUGGUCCGUUGGGUCGUCCGCCCAGCAACACGGAGAAAAAGAUGCUUCAUGCAACAAUAAAAGAGACACAGAUGGAGGACAACCCUCACGACGAAGAAGGAAAGGCCAAAGAACUGGCACCAGUGGUCACAGAAGAUCCAAAUACGCAGCAAAGUGAAGAGACUAAGGCUAAAGCUGCAGCUGAAGAUGACAAGAUCAAUGCCGUGUCUUCAUCUGAGGCUCAUCCUAAAGCAGAUUAUCAGAAAUUAAGACCAAAGUACAAAACUGUCAACUAUGGAGACCCUUCAGUCAAAGCAGCAUACAAACCUAAAAUCAUCAGGUUUACAGACACUUUCACUUUCUAAACCAGGUUCGACGGUCCAGUGUAGUUAGUUUUAUGCAUGCUAAAUCUGCUUCUCAG
rnacentral:lncRNA from 1 species